rnacentral:rRNA from 1 species
CAGAAACUUAAUGAAUUGACGGGGACCCGCACAAGCGGUGGAUUAUGUGGAUUAAUUCGAUGCAACGCGAAAACCUUACCUACCCUUGACAUGUCCUGAAGCCUGGAGAGAUCCGGGUGUGCCCGAAAGGGAACGGGAACACAGGUGCUGCAUGGCUGUCGUCAGCUCGUGUCGUGAGAUGUUGGGUUAAGUCCCGCAACGAGCGCAACCCUUGUCAUUAGUUGCUACAUUUAGUUGGGCACUCUAAUGAGACUGCCGGUGACAAACCGGAGGAAGGUGGGGAUGACGUCAAGUCCUCAUGGCCCUUAUGGGUAGGGCUUCACACGUGCUACAAUGGCGGUGACAGAGGGAUGCAAUACCGCGAGGUGGAGCAAAUCCCUAAAAGCCGUCUCAGUUCGGAUUGUUCUCUGCAACUCGAGAGCAUGAAGUUGGAAUCGCUAGUAAUCGCGGAUCAGCUCGCCGCGGUGAAUACGUUCCCGGGCCUU